rnacentral:rRNA from 1 species
GACGAACGCUGGCGGCGUGCUUAACACAUGCAAGUCGAACGGAAAGGCCCUGCUUUUGUGGGGUGCUCGAGUGGCGCACGGGUGAGUAUCACGUGAGUAACCUGCCCUUGACUUUGGGAUAACUUCAGGAAACUGGGGCUAAUACCGGAUAGGAGCUCCUGCUGCAUGGUGGGGGUUGGAAAGUUUCGGCGGUUGGGGAUGGACUCGAGGCUUAUCAGCUUGUUGGUGGGGUAGUGGCUUACCAAGGCUUUGACGGGUAGCCGGCCUGAGAGGGUGACCGGCCACAUUGGGACUGAGAUACGGCCCAGACGCCUACGGGAGGCAGCAGUGGGGAAUAUUGCACAAUGGGCGGAAGCCUGAUGCAGCAACGCCGCGUGCGGGAUGACGGCCUUCGGGUGGUAAACCGCUUUCGCCUGUGACGAAGCGUGAGUGACGGUAAUGGGUAAAGAAGCACCGGCUAACUACGUG